rnacentral:lncRNA from 1 species
GAUACUAUGCACUAUGAAGGUAGUAUCAUAUACAAUAGUAACAUACGCAUGAUAUUACUAUAUGUUACUCCCCGCUAUGAGCAGCCUAAUAGUGAUGCCUAAAAUCAUUGUGGUGCGGCACCGUCCACGCCGCCAUGUCGCCAUAUAUCAAGGAGGUGCUGCCCUUCCCCAAGUGAAGCCGCCGCAUCAAAAUCGGAUGCUGCAUCAAGUAGGAGCCCCCUUCGUCGCGCAUCAAGGAGGAGGUGAAGGAGGAUCCACAAUCACCAUGGAAAUAGCUCAACCAUU